CACACACCCUACAGGGUAUGUACCUGCAACCAAGGUAUAUGCCCUUGACUGGAAUUGAACCUGGGACCCUUCAGUCUGCAGGCCGACGCUCUAUCCACUGAGACAAACCCGUCAGGGCGAAAGGCUUUUUUUGAAAGAGUAAUGCUGGACCUGAGAUCGAAGGAGGAGGCAGAAUUAGGGAGGUAGUAAAGGCAGAAAGCAGCCAGUGCAAAAGCUCGGAAGCUGAGAUCCUGGUGUGUUGGCAUGAAGAGGGUAGUGGAGAGAAGUUAGAGGGAUGCCUAGCAAGACAGGCAUGCCAAUAGUCAACACCCUAAAAUAUUAGAAUUGUGAUGCAAGAAUGGCAUGGAGGGGGUGGACGGCUAUGGGUCCUCCGGCCAGUCCCUUAGAGGGAUAUGAUCCCUUACUUCUUCCCCAGCCAGGAACCCACAGUCUCUGGGAUUGGGCAGUUGCUCUGUGGGCCCUUUGCUAAGAUGUGUGGGCCUCUCGAGUGAUUGUAAUCACAUUUCCUCACCUGCCAAGGCCUUUUCCACCUGCUUAUUCAAGUGAUUCCCAGCAGUUCUAGGACAAUGCACAGGACAAGCUAGUAUUCACAUUUUAUAGAUGAAACUGAGGCCCAGGGAACCUACCUAAGGCAUACAAUGAGUGAGUACAGGAUCUAAUGCUUAUGCUCGAGGACUCCUAACUUAGUGGCCAUGCCUGUAAGUCAACAGCAGGUAUUGGGGGGAAGCAAGCAUCAGCUGAGCACAUAUUCUGAGGAUUGAUUUAUAAUCUCAGGUGGGGGGCUCUGGGCUGCCAGACUUCCCAAGGAAAGGUGAUUAAGCCCUUACUGUGCUGUCUGAGGGUCUGGUGUUACUCCUCAUAUCAUUUCCGAUGUAGCUAGGCUGCGUGAACAAUUUUCUCUGUCUUUUCUGCCUGUUGAUAAUUCUUUGGAGGAAAAAAAAGAGAAAGAAAAAAAAAAGCUUGAAUUAUGAAUGUCACAUACACAAAAAUGACGUCUGAUGUUACAUCCAGAACUGGGUGUGAAGUAGGAGGGCAGAGAAAGAACAAACAUUUCAGGCCUGGAAGAAGUCUUAAAGAUCACACCCAUGGGAGUUUUGUUUGAGUCCAUCUCUGGCAUCUCCAUCAUGCUUGUGUCUAGCCUCAUUCCCAGGCAGCUCUGCUUCAAAGAAAGUGCCUCCUCAUAAUAAAGCAAAAUCUGCUUCCACUUAACCUCCACCUUCCCGUCCUCCCUCUGAUUGUAGUGUGACAGUCUAUACUAUGUGUAUAUGUGAUUGUCUUCUGGGUAUUUGAGGACAAUAGCCAUGCCUUUCUGAAGUGCCGCUCCCUUCCAGAACACUAGUCCAGUCUCUCUAAUCCACCCUCGUGUAAGACUAGGUGUGACUCACAGUGCAUGUGUGUCACACCCCAUUUGUAGCAAAUCCGUAACAGACAUCACUAAUCAGACACAGUUCUCUAGUUCAGUCAGUCCCAGGCUUCCUCAUGCAAUGCUACUCCAUGUGGCUACCUACACCCAGUUAGUAGAGGAGGCAUUUCAUUGUAGCUUCUAUACUUGAUUGUGAGUUUCUUGAGGACAAGGAUUACUCACCCUGUGUCCUUAGUGCCUGCCCAGUGCCCAAUGUAUGGCUUCUCCUCUGUAAAUAAGCACUUGUCAUAAUGGGAUGGAUUUGAAACUUCUCCCCAUGUGGACUGCCCUCUUCUCAUCAGGCUCCAAUUUGGCAAUGUCCCUUUUCCAGAGUCACCAACAGUAGCCACAUAUCCAGAGUUUGGUGGAGGCUGCCCCCUCCCUGGCCUGCACCUUUUCCUGUAGCAUGGUCUCAGACCAUGUGUCUUUGGUCCUCAAGAGUUGCAAUGGCAUUUUCCCACACAUGCUGCCUUCUAUUGUAAUUGUCUUACUUGGGGUUCCAAACCCAGGAUCUUAGUAUAAGCUCUGAGGAUGAGACCCUGUCCCUUCCUAUGUAUCUGUCCCCAGCCCUGGCAUCCAGGCACUCAACGUUGCCUGUGCUGACCUAAACUGAACUCACGGUUUUCCCUAUUCAAUUCUGUACUGUUCAUUUCAUCCCAUCUCUGCCCAGGGUUCUUGGCUCCUGAUUCUGUCACCCGAUAUGCCACCUGUCACUCUAGACCCAGUGAAUGAGCCUGUUAACACCAUCUUUCUAUUCUGGGAUACGCUUGGUCAUUCAGAAUGAUGAAAGGAGCCAGCAAUCAGGGUGUGCGGGAUCUGGCAGUGUCUGGCUUUGCACACUGGACAUAGGGGCCUGUGACAGCUUGUAAAAAGCCAGGCUCUUGUGAUCCAUCGCCAAGGUUUGACACAGCCCUUCAGAAGUGAGGGUGGUUUUAUGAGGCUCUUCUCUUAGUACUUCCCAAGCUAGGCUCCUGGAACCAUAGGGCUUUUGAAAGGCAGCAACAAGGUCCACAUGUUAGAACCAAUAUUUUAAAAGCCAAAUAGUAUUUUUAAAGCCAGAUCUUGCAUUCUCACUCCCCAGCCCCCUUCCCACUAACUCAUUAGUUCACACAGGGGCUGUAUAUGUCAAGUUUUGCAUUAGACUGGAGCCAUAGCAGCCUAUAGCAACUCUAGCCGUCUUCUCCAAUUCAUCAGCACCCACUACUAGUAGUUAUAGCUGUAAUGUAUGAGAAAAAUCAUGAUUCGAUAACCAUAGUUUAGAAACUGCCAUCUCUUAAGCUUGGACCCCCAGGGUUGGUGAUAAUAAGGUGUCCUGGGGGGUAGGACAGGGGCCCCUCAGCAGAUGGGUCUCUAAGGAUAAAUAAAACAAUGGUUGUGGCAGAUUCCAACACAAAAUGCCUGGCAGGUUGCAGCAAUAGUGAUUUUUGAGAAACAGAAUGCUAUUUGGGGACUAGAGGGCUCUCAAGGGCCUUCCUGACCUCUGAAGUCAGGCUGGGAACCUGACAGCAACUUCCUUCCUCGUUGGGAGGGGGUGUGGGGGGGCCGCAGGGCACAGACAGGGAACAUACCCACACUCAGAACCCCAGGCAAGGGUCCCUGCUCUGCCACCUGAUCCUUUCAGAUCCUUGGUUUUCUUGUUUAUACUAUGAGGAGGUCAAAUUAGUCUAGUAGAUCUCAAAAUAUCAUGUAGUAAUUAAUUCUGUAUGGAUUUAAAAAGGGAAAAUGGUGCUGCUCCCAGGGACCUGGAGUUAAAAAUCCUUACCCACGCCCUGGAGGGCUUCCAGAACCUGGCUUGAAAAUCACUGAAAUUACAAUCUCCUAGGACCAUUCCUCCAGCCCUGGAAUUUGGAAGCUCCACAUACUUACUUUGAUCUCAGAUGCCUGGUCUCCUGUAGAUUGAAACUGUGACAUCCAUCCAAGGCCAACUGUGUGACCUGGGAAAAGUGCCUCACCUCUCUGAACUUUACUUAGAGGUUGUAGUGAGACUUCGCCAAGCUGGGGAUGUCCUAGGUGACUGGGAAUCCCAUGUCAGGGGUUUUGGUGUUUCUGGUAAGAAGAUGUCUGGGACCACACAUCUGAAGAAGGGCCUGAGGAAGGGGCAGUGGGCAGCCAAGGUCACAGGCAGGACCGAGCACCUUUCUCUUCCAUGUGCUCAGGUUCUGGUCCAGGCAGUACCAGGCCUCUGCCCCAAUGGCCAGCAGAGACAGAGGCUUACAUCAUCUAACUCAUUCAGAGAAAAAUCAUCAAACCCAAGGAUAGGGGUUCAUAGUAGCCCUGACUAGAGAACUGGCCUGGCCAAGAUCCUGUGCUAGGUAGCACCUAACACUAACCCUGGGCAGUGUGAUGAAGUAGUAGCUAACAGCGGCUGGCUCUGAGUCAGAAAGAUUGAGCUCAAAUCCUUUUUUGUGAUCUCAGGCUAGUCUCUUCUCUUUGAGCUCCACUUUUCUCCUCUUUGAAAUGGAAGUGAUAAGCCUAGUGAAGAGUUGAUGAGCUAACAUAAUUAAAGCACUUAAUGCAAGGUUAGUUCAUUAAUUAAAGCACUUAAUUCAAGGUCAGUUCAUGGCCAGUCCUCAGUCAGGAAUAGUGCUCUGAAGCUUGUGAAGUCUUUGAUGAGCAGCUCCCCUUCCUCUUGAGAACCACCUGACCU